rnacentral:misc_RNA from 1 species
GUGUAUAGUUUUCUGAGUGCAAAAUGUCAAUAUAUAAAUAAGAAGAGGUUCAUGUUUGUGUGGAAUAUGGACAAGCAUCAGCUGAAGUUAUUUAGUGUGCUUACUAGAAAGCAAAGGACAGAACCAUGUACACCUAACUCCUCCCACCAGAAUAAAAGCCAUUACCAUGGCUUCCAUAUCAUGACUCCCACCAGAAUAAAAGCCAUUACCAUGGCUUCCAUAUCAUGA